rnacentral:rRNA from 1 species
CCUUUAGAAAUGAAGAUUAAUGCCUCAUAGUAUUGUAGACUGGCAUCAGUUUAUAAUUAAAGAUUUAUCGGUAAAAGAUGGCUAUGCGUCCUAUUAGUUAGUUGGUAAGGUAACGGCUUACCAAGACAGCGAUAGGUAGGGGUCCUGAGAGGGAGAUCCCCCACACUGGUACUGAGACACGGACCAGACUCCUACGGGAGGCAGCAGUGAGGAAUAUUGGACAAUGGAGGACACUCUGAU